AUACGGAGGGUGCAAGCGUUAAUCGGAAUUACUGGGCGUAAAGCGUACGUAGGCGGGUCGUUAAGUUAGAUGUGAAAGCCCCGGGCUUAACCUGGGAACUGCAUUUAAAACUGGCGGACUAGAGUUGAGUAGAGGGGAGUGGAAUUUCAGGUGUAGCGGUGAAAUGCGUAGAGAUCUGAAGGAACACCAGUGGCGAAGGCGACUCCCUGGACUCGAACUGACGCUGAGGUACGAAAGCGUGGGUAGCAAACGGGAUUAGAAACCCCAGUAGUCC
rnacentral:rRNA from 1 species